CCUACGGGAGGCAGCAGUGGGGAAUUGUUCACAAUGGGCGCAAGCCUGAUGACGCAACGCCGCGUGGAGGAUGAAGGUCUUCGGAUUGUAAACUCCUGUUGCCCGGGACGAAAAGCUUCGACCUAACACGUCGAAGUCUGACGGUACCGGGUGAGGAAGCCCCGGCUAACUCUGUGCCAGCAGCCGCGGUAAUACAGAGGGGGCAAGCGUUGUUCGGAAUUACUGGGCGUAAAGGGCGCGUAGGUGGCCUUCUAAGUUGAACGUGAAAUCCCUGGGCUCAACCCAGGAACUGCGUCCAAGACUGGGAGGCUUGAAUCCGGGAGAGGGAUGCGGAAUUCCAGGUGUAGCGGUGAAAUGCGUAGAUAUCUGGAGGAACACCGGUGGCGAAGGCGGCAUCCUGGACCGGUAUUGACACUGAGGCGCGAAAGCCAGGGGAGCAAACGGGAUUAGAUACCCCGGUAGUCCUGGCCCUAAACGAUGAAUGCUUGGUGUGGCGGGUAUCGAUCCCUGCCGUGCCGAAGCUAACGCAUUAAGCAUUCCGCCUGGGGAGUACGGUCGCGAGCGNGAACGACGAAGAAGUAGACGGCGUGAGACGUGCCGACGGACGACGACGAGGGAGGAGG
rnacentral:rRNA from 1 species